rnacentral:rRNA from 1 species
GUACACGCUGUGACUAGCAUAUCAAUAAGCGGAGGAAAAGAAACUAACAAGGAUUCCCCUAGUAACGGCGAGUGAAGCGGGAAGAGCUCAAAUUUGAAAUCUUGAAAGGGUUCACCUUUCACGAAUUGUAGUUUAAAGAAGUGUUUUCUGUUACGAUUUGGUAAAUAAGUUCUUUGGAAUAGGACAUCAUAGAGGGUGAGAAUCCCGUAUAUUGACCAUUGGAUUUGUCAGCCUUGUGAUACACUUUCAAAGAGUCGGGUUGUUUGGGAAUGCAGCCCAAAACGGGAGGUAAAUUUCUUCUAAGGCUAAAUAUUGGCGAGAGACCGAUAGCGAACAAGUACCGUGAGGGAAAGAUGAAAAGAACUUUGAAAAGAGAGUUAAAUAGUACGUGAAAUUGUCAAAAGGGAAGCGUUUAACACCAGUGUUGUUUUCUGAAAAUCAACCUCUGUUAGCUUUAUGCAUGUUUGUUUAGACCUAAUCAGCUAUCUUGCAUGUUCUAUUGUUUGCAGUGGUGCACUUUUCAGUUUACAGGUCAACAUCAGUUUUUUUUACCGUAAAAAAGUUAAAGAAAGGUAGCUCAUGGCUCCGGUCGUGAGUGUUAUAGUCUUUUUCCUAUGCGGUAGGAGAGACUGAGGUCUGCAGUGUAGGCUAUUUGGCUAGAUACUCAGGUGCUAUGUGAUACCAUUUCAUAAACAACUUGUUGAUUAUGUUUUGUCUAUUGCAUACUCGCUUGUACUAUCAUACCUACGCUUAGGAUGUUGACGCAUGAGAUAUACGC